GACGAACGCUGGCGGCGUGCCUAAUACAUGCAAGUAGAACGCUGAAGGAGGAGCUUGCUUCUCUGGAUGAGUUGCGAACGGGUGAGUAACGCGUAGGUAACCUGCCUGGUAGCGGGGGAUAACUUUUGGAAACGAUAGCUAAUACCGCAUAAGAGUAGAUGUUGCAUGACAUUUUCUUAAAAGGUGCAAUUGCAUCACUACCAUAUGGACCUGCGUUGUAUUAGCUAGUUGGUGGGGUAACGGCUCACCAAGGCGACGAUACAUAGCCGACCUGAGAGGGUGAGCGGCCACACUGGGACUGAGACACGGCCCAGACGCCUACGGGAGGCAGCAGGAGGGAAUCUGGGGCAAGGGACGGAAGACUGAGCGAGAAACGCCGAGUGAGGGAAGAAGGUUGUCGGAUCGUAAAGGUCGGUUGUAAGAGAAGAACGAGUGUGAGAGUGGAAAGUUCACACUGUGACGGUAACUUACCAGAAAGAGACGGCUAACUACGUG
rnacentral:rRNA from 1 species